AGCACAGCUUUGAAAAGUAGCUGUGGGAGCAUAGAUAUAGGGUGCGUUCACGGAGAUAAUUCUGCGCAGACUGCAGAAUCUGACCAAUUUAGCCAAUGAUCUUCUAAGAAUGAUCUCCGUGAACGCACCCAUUGGCUAAAUUGGUCAGACUCUGUACAGAAUCUGCGCAGAAUGAUCUCCGUGAACGCACCCAUUGUCAUUUGGGUAGAGAAAGAGAGACGCCAUCUUGCCUAGGUAUAAGUGCAGUCAUCUAUGAGUGCAGUUUUUAAAACCAUUUCACAUCUUCAAUUAUAUGAAUGGUUUGAUUACGUUCUUUAUCCGACAUCGACAUGCAUAUUGAUUGUGCAGCUAAACUGUGUCAAGUCGGGUUCCCGAAGACUCGUUGAGGAGAUGGCUUAGGGUUGGGUUAAGAAGUCCCCGAAGACUCGUUGAGGAGGGGGCUCACCAUUCACGGAGUUUGCAGCAGAAGCCACGGAGGGUUCUCAAGCAGAGAGACUGUGAAGUCACAGUAACAGCUCCUAAUGAGAAUGUCUCAUCCACUGUGUAUCUGAUAAAAAUGUUAUGGUUCCAGCUUUCCAGUUCCGUGGUUGUUUGUGUUCCUUUUCAUGUUCUAUGUUAUGUGCACACUGGCUUUUAAAACUUGUGCAUGUCUGCAUUUGGCUUGGUAAUUUAACAUUUCUAUUUCACAUGCACAUUUUACACAUUUACGUUUAAAGUUUACUGCACUGUUUACUUUUCUUUUUACACACCUGAAGAAGGGCUUUUAUAUAUAUAAACCGUACAUAGUUUUAAUUGUCCAUUUACAGUGUUAAAACAUAAUUGCAACUUCAUAAUGCGACAAAGUGUGUUAGAAUGUUUUAUUAAAAUGUGUUUAAAGCCAUGUACAUUGCCUUGGAUAAAGCUGUCUGCAAAAUAGCUAUAAUAAUUGUGUUCAAUUUCCUAUUACUCUUCUAUUAAAAUCUGCUACAUUUUCUUUCUCUAUUGCCUUAAAUAAAAUUUCUA